rnacentral:lncRNA from 1 species
CUUUUGCCAACUCACCUUCCCUCCUUGCCUCUUGCAUAAACCAUGGUUCCAGGAGUGAUUUGUGACUCACUGAGUAGUUUCCACAAUACUUGUCUUUGAGGGUUUGUAGGGAGAUACGUUGUCCACAGUUGUUGUAGCAGUCCGUAAUGAGUCUUUGGAUUUCUGUUCUGUGUUCAUAUACCAGGUCACAUGACAGAAAGAAGAAAGAAAUAACAAAACUCAUGUAGAUCUUCAAGGGUUCCAAAGAUGAAACCUGAGCAUCCUUCAAAGCAGUCAGGAUGUUUGAGAUGUUUGAGGUUUCAUCAGAACCUACUUGGUCAUGUUCUCUGCCUUAAAAACCAGGAGUCUUGACCUGGAGCAAAGAAGAAGCAGAUGCAACCAAGAAGAGUACGGGUUGAUGGAACACUAUUUCUAAAAAUGCGAGCCUGUCCAGCAGAGAAGACCGCCUGUUUGCACAGCACAGAUGCUGACAGAUGUCUAGUAACUCAGCACUCAGCUGCAACUUCUGUGCCACCCUGCGCCGCCCAGGAGACAAGAUGAAAUUGCUAGUAUGUGAGAUUUGUGACAGCCUCUGCACGCCAGGACUUCUCGCGUCUUUAUCAUCAGGGACACAACUUAGACCAGUUUCUGCUGUGUGGAACCUUCAUGGACAUAUGAUCCCUGUGGAGACAUGGCUCUGGUUUUGUUGUUUUUAACACAUUCCAUUUUGAAUCAUAAGCUAUUUGAGCUGGACAGGAGACUAUUAAAGACCUAUUCGGUCUCCUGAUCUAUAAACUGAAUUCCACUGAGCCCUGGAAGUCAUCCAAAGUGCUCAGGGCCACUCUAAUUUUACCUCUUCUCUAUAUGCAACCACCCCACGGGUGUCUGCAAGGGACAGCAAAACCUGCAGAUGCCCAAAUCGCUCGCAGAAAACACUGUAGUGUCGGCAAACAUUCCAGAAAGAAGGAACUUUUCUAAAGUCAUGGACAUUUGAAGAAUGACAAAAAAAAAAACAUUAAACAAUUUUGAACGGUUAAAAAUGUAACCCUUUUCUUAACACAAAACAAACAAUAAAGCCAAUUUUUACCUGGAUUGGAUCUAGACA